UUAUUUUUUAUCGGGGAAAGAGAUUCUUUGAGUACAAAGGCACUUUUGCCUUGAACUCAUAAUUUUAUGAAAAUGAAAUACCAAAUCGUUUGUUUAUCUUUCGUUCUGUAUCUCGUAAAACGAAACUACAUCGCCAACGCCGCUAUCAAUCAAGUCAAGAAACCGCUAGCGAAGGAAACAACUGUUUAUUCACCACACGCCAACAACAUGGUCGUAUUUCAGAGAAUUCAUUUCAGUAUUUUUGGUUAUAAAUAUGAGGACAACAAGAUCUGGGGUGUCAUUGCUCAAAGACAAUUAAGGAUACUGUGGAAUUGACUGUGCUGCGAAAAGACGAGAUUUGUUAAGCAUCGCAAUGAAAGCAUCCACUACCAUCAUACUACUGUAUCUUGUAGCGACAAUUUCUCUCCUACCAUCCAGCACUGAAGCUGGCGUCGUCAGAGGAAAUGAGUGUCUUCAAAAAUGUGCCAAGAUGACAUUCAACUGUGAGCGACUGUGCAACAGUGGCUUUCGAGCUCGAUUUGGAAUAAAGAAAAGCUGUGAAGAAAUAUGUUAUGAUAACUUUAUAGAUUGUGUUAUGGAGAACAAUUGUGAAAACUAGUCACGUGGACUGACCCRCGCCUAUAUAAUCAAUCAAUCACUAACUAUAAAUAACUAUUAUUAUCGAUUAACUAUUUAUUCUCUCUGAAAUAUGUCUGUGUAUUUUGGAAAAUCUAAUAAAAAUUGUCGUUGUUUAUUUGAAAAGGUAAAAGUUGCUGUUAAAUCCAAAGAAAAUUGUUAAUAAAGAUUUCAGGAAACUUGUUCAUUA